UACGUAGGAGGCGAGCGUUGUCCGGAAUUACUGGGCGUAAAGCGCGUGUAGGCGGGCGCUCUUGUCGGGGAUGAAAGCCCUCUGCUCAACGGGGGGAGUGUUCGCGAAACGGAGCGCCUCAUUGGAGUGUGGUAGGGGGAGGCGGAACGGCCGGUGGAGCGGUGAAAUGCGUAGAGAUCGGCCAGAACACCAGUGGCGAAGGCGGCCUCCUGGGCCACAACUGACGCUGAGACGCGAAAGCGUGGGGAGCGAACGGAAUUAGAUACUCCGGUAGUCCACGCCCUAAACGAUGCAGACUAGGUGCUGGGGGUAUCGACCCCUUCGGCGCCGGAGCUAACGCGGGAAGUCUGCCGCCUGGGGAGUACGGCCGCAAGGCUAAA
rnacentral:rRNA from 1 species